UACGAAGGGGGCUAGCGUUGCUCGGAAUGACUGGGCGUAAAGGGCGCGUAGGCGGCUUGUAUAGUCGGAUGUGAAAUUCCUGGGCUUAACCUGGGGGCUGCAUACGAGACGUAUGGGCUUGAGUGCGGAAGAGGGUCGUGGAAUUCCCAGUGUAGAGGUGAAAUUCGUAGAUAUUGGGAAGAAACACCGGUGGCGAAGGCGGCGACCUGGUCCGUGACUGACGCUGAGGCGCGAAAAGCGUGGGGGAGCAAACAGG
rnacentral:rRNA from 1 species